GAACUUUGCCACUUGACCUGAAGUAACUUAUAAUAAUAGGUUAUGCAGUGAAGCAGAACUAGAGGGGGCUAAGCCACUUUGCCAUGCAUAGAAGACUGUCAUCAAAAUGAUUGCUUUGGGGCAGAAAAGGCAAUUCUUGAUAAUUAGAUCUUAUGGCAUGUAGCUGGUGCUUUCUGAUAUCCAGUAUGUAAGAACUAUCAGAGAGAAAAUUCCAAACACGAUUUUUCAGGAGGAUCAGUGACUAAAACUAUUUUACAUAUGAUCGGAUUGUGCUUUGCAUUUCGACCAGCAUUACAGUAAAGACCAGACAUCCUUGCUACAGUUCAGU